GCGUCGAACGCUGGAAUUGAAUUUAAAAAGAGAAAAAGUAUAAGGCUAAGGGGUUUAAGGAUGAUUGCAACAGAGACGCCAGUCAAGAGAGCCUGUAAUAUCGAUUGGUUUUUAUAAAAGAAGAAAAAAAAGGACUCAAAGUCUAGACGAAUCUACUAGACUCGUAGUUACCUACAAUCUAUCAAGAAGAAGUGCUGGUGGGAAAAGAGGAAUUGAACAGCCGCCGAGAAAAGGUUUCCUUCUUUUUUUGUAAACAGCACGGACGCGUAUAAAAUGGGCGAGGAAUUAUAGUGAGGAGCAGACGGGAGCAUUGUGUGUGCGAGAGGUUGUUUGGAUCGAGCUACUACCAGCACUCGUCACUCUGACCGCCCCCUCUUUUCUUUUUUCUACUUUUUUAGUUUGUUUUUCGCUCGUUCCUGUUGAUUCUGCACACAGCUGCGCAAAGUGGCUGCUGCGCCACGACAUGGUCGGAGUUGAUCCCGAUGAGGAGAGAGCCGAGAGAGAGCAGGAAAGUUUAUAGAGCAUGACCCGAGACGACGGGCUAGCCAGUUGUCCCGCCACUCUGGCCAUGGACUGCUGGACCCGUACAAAUCCCAUACAAAGCAAAUAAAUCAAAUCCCUAUUGCUAUUCUUCUUCUUCCGGUGGUGCACCGUGUGUGAUCCUGUCAGUUGGGCAGGACGACGACGCAAAGUCGAAAAUCGAAUCCAUCAUUUGAUCCGUGAUUUUUUGUUUUCAAGUUUGUUUGCAUGCAAGACUAGCAACAGCGACUGGCACAGCACAAUUGUCAACACAAACCAAAUGGGCUCCUGGCUGGAACGAAUCUACGGCUGCUGCUCCAGCGCGGAUUGGUGCUGGUGGCCCAAUUCAAGCUCAUAUAUCGUGCCGAUUAUGAAAGGAGGGGUUCAUGUUUAUGUAUGUACACAGCAGCAGUAGUAGUAGCAGCAGCAGCGCACUUGUCCUGGCGGCGAUAUCAAUUUCACUACUGACAUGCUAUAUCAUCUAUAUAUGGCGGGCCCCGGAUUUUUAUUGCGAUCGGCUCCAGCGCCCCCAAUCGUUGGGUUUGCCUCCUCCUUAUUUCUCUCUCGUUGCGGUUUGACAGUUGUUUGCGCCAGGGUCGCGGGGCCAUGAUUUGCAGCUCCAAAAGCAAAGACGGGGGGCAAUGUUUCAUCCAUUUCCGUCGUAAUGGCACCCCCAGCAGCUCUCUAUAGGCAAGUCGUGUUGUGAAAUGAUGAUGGCGCUAUUACCAGAUGCCACACCUGUUGCCAUUUUCAAGAUGAAUCGAGUCCUUCAUUUAACGCGCAUGAGGAAGUAUAAUCCAGCGGCGGCAUCUGGCAGGGACGACGACGACGACGACGCCCUGAUUGAGGCGACGGCCGGCAGCUUUGAAUCCAACAGCGGCAGCAGGAUCGCCAUGCUCUCCCGCGGUAAAAUUAAGUAUGUCAAGGCUGGAGUUGUGAACCACACGGGAUCCUCCCACAUCGGGAUUCCCAUCAUCGAUCCGCUGAUUGGCCAGGAUUACAACAACAGUAGUAGCGGCGGGACACAUCGUCAAAAUCAUCAUCAGCGGCAGCAGCUGUUCACGCAACUUCAUCAGCACGCCCGGCUCCUGGUCAACAAGAACAUCUUUCAUUGGCAUCAACAGACGCACCAUCAGCAUCAGUGGUGGUGGGACUCGAGCACUCCGCCCUCCUCUGUCGAUCUCGAAUGGGAACACGAAGGUUUAAUGCCGCCGGUGAUGGAAUCGGCCAGCGAGGAUGGAGAAGCCGAUGCGGAGGACCAAGAUGAGGUGGAUUUGUACGAUACAGCCGAUGAAGGGGAAGCGGCCGAUGAAGGAACGAGAGCGACGGAUGUGCUGGCAAGGACGACAAAGAAGACUGCCGGCCCAAAUGAUCCGGUCGCUCCCCAUCGAUCCCCGUCACCUUCUUCCGCUUGCCACUCUCUGGAAUGGGAUUCCAACGGCGACGAUUUCUUCGGACACGAUUGCCGGACACACAACAUCAAGGCCUUUUCAUCCUAAAUGAUCCUGAAAUUUUCCCCUCUCUGUGUGUCCCCUCAAGAGAGCCGGGACGAAAAUCGGGAGGGACAGUGAAGAAGAGCACAUAUAGGGCAGGGGAGAAACCAGCCUGGAGGCAAAUCCAAAUGUCAUUUUGGAGGACCAAACACAAAAAAUAAAAAGAAGAAAAGUAAAGGAAGCGAAAAUAAUAGAUGUCGACCUACACUACCACGCGCUCCUUGUUCAAGGCGAGAUCAAUAAGGCGCCAGCAGGCAUUAAAAGAGCGCUCUCUACUCGCUCCUUUUUUUCUUAGGGGACAAUCGAUCCACGUUCCCGGCGUGUGAGAGAUCCGUCGGUACGUACGUGUGGGGGGGCUUUCUCUUGGCUUUGCACGCGGACAUAGAUGGCGACACUCGGCCUCGACGGCUCCUAAGCCCCCACCGACUGUACACACAACCCCCGCUCGCUCCCGACAUCACCCGAAUAGACGAGUGAACGGCGAUCAAGCGAUUCCAAGGCCUUAUGUAUUAUUUUUGGGGGUUGUUGCUGUUGCUGUUGUCUUCGUCUCUCAUCUCUCGUGUUAUUAUCAUUUCACUUGUGUGUCUUUUUACUGUACACGUCUGUCUAGUUGUCUUCCAUCUCUUCACCCAGAGCUAUUUAUUAAGGGAUGUACAGACUUGUGUGAGCAACGGUGGGAAGAAAUGUGACUGGCGUCGGCUGGUGUGAGCGGAAGCAGCAAAUCGUCUUUCAAAUGGUCAUAUCAUCAUUUCGCGGCAGCGUUCAAAGGCUCCCGCGCUCUGAUAACCCUAUGCAGACGAAUUUUGAAGGCGCUUGUUUAGGAUGGCACGAGAGAUAUGCCGUAUUGUAUUGCAGUGUGUGUCUGUGUGUGUGUGUGUGUGUGUGUCUCUGAGUAUAAUAUGUGUGGAUUGUGAAUGUGUGUCGGGAUCAUGUUGUUAUAACCCCCUCCCCCACCCCACGUAAUCGAUUUUUCAUCAAUCUGGAGCGGAUGGUAAAAUGUCAACGUGUACAAACGUGCGAGAGGGGCGUCUCUUAUCAUCUCGUUACUGUCACCUCGUCUUGAAUAACGCAAAUAUAUCUGAAUUUGAGCCA
rnacentral:misc_RNA from 1 species